rnacentral:rRNA from 1 species
AUUGAACGCUGGCGGCAGGCCUAACGCAUGCAAGUCGAGCGGAUGAAGGGAGCUUGCUCCUGGAUUCAGCGGCGGACGGGUGAGUAAUGCCUAGGAAUCUGCCUGGUAGUGGGGGAUAACGUCCGGAAACGGGCGCUAAUACCGCAUACGUCCUGAGGGAGAAAGUGGGGGAUCUUCGGACCUCACGCUAUCAGAUGAGCCUAGGUCGGAUUAGCUAGUUGGUGGGGUAAAGGCCUACCAAGGCGACGAUCCGUAACUGGUCUGAGAGGAUGAUCAGUCACACUGGAACUGAGACACGGUCCAGACUCCUACGGGAGGCAGCAGUGGGGAAUAUUGGAUAAUGGGCGAAAGCCUGAUCCAGCCAUGCCGCGUGUGUGAAGAAGGUCUUCGGAUUGUAAAGCACUUUAAGUUGGGAGGAAGGGCAGUAAGUUAAUACCUUGCUGUUUUGACGUUACCAACAGAAUAAGCACCGGCUAACUUCGUG